ensembl:lncRNA
GACUAUUCAAGGUUGAUUUUCUUUGGGGGAUGGUCUGUGACAAUUUGUGAUGGUUGUGCCUUACCACUCAAGCCAGAGUUCUACACUUUGCUCACCUGGGGUCCUUAGAAGCUGUUAUUUUAACCAUCCUUCCUGAGACCAAGGGGACAUUCUCCCUUAGGAGAGCUGGAGUUUGCUAGCACUUUCUCUCCUCUGCCUAUCUAUAAUUUAAGUAUUCUGUUACUGAGUGCCCACCCUCCAGACAUCUUCAAGUAACUAAGUGAAGUAAAAUUCUGAUACUUAAUUUAUUAAGAUACUGCAUGGCUUUCUCUGAGUUACAGAGUGAUGCUAGGAAACUGCUCAACUCUCUAAAAGCUAGGACUAUGUCACAAACAAUUGCUUAAGAAACUCCUAUGAUGGACCAAGCUCCUGUGCCUGUCUGCCGUUGGAAGUUGCCAAAGAAAGAGUGGUAUUGUACUGAGUGGAUUAGAACUUCAAAUGCUGCAAAGAUACAAAAGUGCUUUACUGUAAAAUCCAAGACACAGGAAAGGGAGAUUUGGAGGUACACAGACAAGCAUGGAGGGGAAGAUGAAGGCAGAACUUGGAGUAAUGAAGCCACAAAACCAAGGAAUGCCAAGGAAUGCUGGUGACCACCAAAAUUAGGAAGCAGCAAGAAAGGAUUCUCCUGUAGAGUCUUCAGAAAAAGCCUGGCCCUACUGACACCCUAAUUUC